rnacentral:lncRNA from 1 species
CUCCAAUCUUGAAAUAAUGUACUCCCGGGCAUAUAUUGCCUGUUUUAUUACUGAUGGAGGAGUACGACUAAUGUCUGUUUUACCUGGAAGACAUAUAUUGUCUAGAAUUUGGACUGAAACUCAUGGACGAAGACAGCAACGACUUGGACCGUAGCACUGACCGGGGCCUCCAAGCUUAUAGCAGAAACUUCCUAACGAGAUAUCCAUGGUUCAGUAUACGUACGGUUAAUGAAAAGCACAAGCGUCAGCUAAAGAAUUGGUCAUUCCACCUAUUGUAAAAGAAAUUGUUCUCCAUUCUUGAAAUAAUGUAGGAGUACUAUUUUACCUCCAGGAAAUAUACUGUACAAGUCUGGAUCGAGACUCGUGGAUGAAGACAGCAACGACUUGGACCGUAGC